GAUGAACGCUGGCGGCGUGCUUAACACAUGCAAGUCGAACGUGAAGGUGCAGCAAUGUACCUGAAAGUGGCGAACGGGUGAGUAACACGUAGAUAACCUACCCUGAAGUGGGGGAUAACGACGGGAAACUGUCGCUAAUACCGCAUGAGCUUGACGGUCUGGGAAUAUCGUCAAGGAAAGCUUUAGUGCUUUGGGAGGGGUCUGCGUCCGAUUAGCUAGUUGGUGAGGUAAUGGCUCACCAAGGCGAUGAUCGGUAGCUGGUCUGAGAGGAUGGUCAGCCACACGGGAACUGAGAUACGGUCCCGACUCCUACGGGGGGCAGCAGUGAGGAAUAUUGCACAAUGGGGGAAACCCUGAUGCAGCAACGCCGCGUGGAGGAAGAAGGCCUUCGGGUUGUAAACUCCUUUUCUGGGGGACGAGAGAGGACGGUACUCCAGGAAUAAGUCACGGCUAACUACGUGCCAGCCGCCG
rnacentral:rRNA from 1 species